GACGAACGCUGGCGGCGUGCCUAAUACAUGCAAGUCGAACGAACUCUGGUAUUGAUUGGUGCUUGCAUCAUGAUUUACAUUUGAGUGAGUGGCGAACUGGUGAGUAACACGUGGGAAACCUGCCCAGAAGCGGGGGAUAACACCUGGAAACAGAUGCUAAUACCGCAUAACAACUUGGACCGCAUGGUCCGAGUUUGAAAGAUGGCUUCGGCUAUCACUUUUGGAUGGUCCCGCGGCGUAUUAGCUAGAUGGUGAGGCGACGGCUCACCAUGGCAAUGAUACGUAGCCGACCUGAGAGGGUAAUCGGCCACAUUGGGACUGAGACACGGCCCAAACUCCUACGGGAGGCAGCAGUAGGGAAUCUUCCACAAUGGACGAAAGUCUGAUGGAGCAACGCCGCGUGAGUGAAGAAGGGUUUCGGCUCGUAAAACUCUGUUGUUAAAGAAGAACAUAUCUGAGAGUAACUGUUCAGGUAUUGACGGUAUUUAACCAGAAAGCCACGGCUAACUACGUGCCAGCAGCCGCGGUAAUACGUAGGUGGCAAGCGUUGUCCGGAUUUAUUGGGCGUAAAGCGAGCGCAGGCGGUUUUUUAAGUCUGAUGUGAAAGCCUUCGGCUCAACCGAAGAAGUGCAUCGGAAACUGGGAAACUUGAGUGCAGAAGAGGACAGUGGAACUCCAUGUGUAGCGGUGAAAUGCGUAGAUAUAUGGAAGAACACCAGUGGCGAAGGCGGCUGUCUGGUCUGUAACUGACGCUGAGGCUCGAAAGUAUGGGUAGCAAACAGGAUUAGAUACCCUGGUAGUCCAUACCGUAAACGAUGAAUGCUAAGUGUUGGAGGGUUUCCGCCCUUCAGUGCUGCAGCUAACGCAUUAAGCAUUCCGCCUGGGGAGUACGGCCGCAAGGCUGAAACUCAAAGGAAUUGACGGGGGCCCGCACAAGCGGUGGAGCAUGUGGUUUAAUUCGAAGCUACGCGAAGAACCUUACCAGGUCUUGACAUACUAUGCAAAUCUAAGAGAUUAGACGUUCCCUUCGGGGACAUGGAUACAGGUGGUGCAUGGUUGUCGUCAGCUCGUGUCGUGAGAUGUUGGGUUAAGUCCCGCAACGAGCGCAACCCUUAUUAUCAGUUGCCAGCAUUAAGUUGGGCACUCUGGUGAGACUGCCGGUGACAAACCGGAGGAAGGUGGGGAUGACGUCAAGUCAUCAUGCCCCUUAUGACCUGGGCUACACACGUGCUACAAUGGAUGGUACAACGAGUUGCGAACCCGCGAGAGUAAGCUAAUCUCUUAAAGCCAUUCUCAGUUCGGAUUGUAGGCUGCAACUCGCCUACAUGAAGUCGGAAUCGCUAGUAAUCGCGGAUCAGCAUGCCGCGGUGAAUACGUUCCCGGGCCUUGUACACACCGCCCGUCACACCAUGAGAGUUUGUAACACCCAAAGUCGGUGGGGUAACCUUUUAGGAACCAGCCGCCUAAGGUGGGACAGAUGAUUAGGGUG
rnacentral:rRNA from 1 species